rnacentral:rRNA from 1 species
UACGGAGGGAGCAAGCGUUACUCGGAAUUACUGGGCGUAAAGGGCGCGUAGCGAUUUUGUAAGUCUUUGUGUGAAAGCCCAAAGCCUAACUUUGGAAGUGCAUAAGAUCUGCGAGAAUUGAGUUUCCGGAGAGGAAAGAUGGAAUUCCCGGUGUAGCGGUGAAAUGCGUAGAUAUCGGGAGGAAUACCAAGUGGCGAAGGCGAAUCUUCUGGAGGAGUACUGACGCUGAGGCGCGAAAGCUAGGGGAGCA